rnacentral:lncRNA from 1 species
UUCAGAACAUAUCAAUGGCAUAUGAAGCAUUUCAGAGCAUAUCAAGGAUGUAUGAAAUGUUACAGAGUAUAUCAAUAAUAAAUGAAACAUUUCGGAACAUAUCAAUGAUAGACGAAAUACUUUAGAAUAUAUCAAUGACAUAUGAAGUAUUCAGGAGUAUAUCAAGGACGUAUGAAAUAUUUUGGAGCAUAUCAAUAACAAAUGAAACAUUUUAGAAUAUAUUAAUGAUUGAUGAAAUGCUUCAGAACAUAUCAAUGACAUAUGAAGCAUUUCAGAACAUAUCAAAGAAUAAAUACGAAAUAGAAGCUCAAACGUCGCAUUUGAUGUUGCAC